rnacentral:rRNA from 1 species
UGGGGGAUAUUGCACAAUGGGCGAAAGCCUGAUGCAGCGACGCCGCGUGGGGGAUGAAGGCUUUCGGGUUGUAAACCUCUUUCGCUAUCGAACAAGGCCCGCUUAGGGUGGGUUGAGGGUAGGUGGAGAAGAAGCGCCGGCUAACUACGUGCCAGCAGCCGCGGUAAUACGUAGGGCGCGAGCGUUGUCCGGAAUUAUUGGGCGUAAAGGGCUUGUAGGCGGCUUGUUGCGCCUGCUGUGAAAACGCGGGGCUUAACUUCGCGCGUGCAGUGGGUACGGGCAGGCUUGAGUGUGGUAGAGGUGACUGGAAUUCCAGGUGUAGCGGUGGAAUGCGCAGAUAUCUGGAGGAACACCGAUGGCGAAGGCAGAUCACUGGGCCAUUACUGACGCUGAGGAGCGAAAGCAUGGGUAGCGAACAGG